rnacentral:rRNA from 1 species
CCCCGGUAAACGGCGGCCGUAACUAUAACGGUCCUAAGGUAGCGAAAUUCCUUGUCGGGUAAGUUCCGACCUGCACGAAUGGCGUAAUGAUGGCCAGGCUGUCUCCACCCGAGACUCAGUGAAAUUGAACUCGCUGUGAAGAUGCAGUGUACCCGCGGCAAGACGGAAAGACCCCGUGAACCUUUACUAUAGCUUGACACUGAACAUUGAGCCUUGAUGUGUAGGAUAGGUGGGAGGCUUUGAAGUGUGGACGCCAGUCUGCAUGGAGCCGACCUUGAAAUACCACCCUUUAAUGUUUGAUGUUCUAAC